rnacentral:tRNA from 1 species
ACUUAAAUAGUUUAAUUAAAAUUUUAAUUUGUGGAAUUAAAGAUAUGAAUAUCAUUUUAAGUA